GGAAUCUUGCGCAAUGGGCGAAAGCCUGACGCAGCGACGCCGCGUGAGCGAUGAAGGCCCUCGGGUUGUAAAGCUCUGUGGGGAGAGAAGAAUAAGGCUUGGUUAAUAUCCAAGUUGAUGACGGUAUCUCCUUAGCAAGCACCGGCUAACUCUGUGCCAGCAGCCGCGGUAAGACAGAGGGUGCAAACGUGGUUGGGAAUUGCUGGGCGUAAAGCGCGUGUAGGCGGCAUCGCAAGUCGGAUGUGAAAGCCCACGGCUCAACCGGGGAAGAGCACUCGAAACUGCGUGGCUAGAGUCCCGGAGAGGAAGGUGGAAUACUGGGUGUAGAGGUGAAAUUCGUAGAUAUCCAGUGGAACAUCGGUGGCGAGGGCGGCCUUCUGGACGGUGACUGACGCUGAAAUGCGAAAGCGUGGGGAGCA
rnacentral:rRNA from 1 species